rnacentral:rRNA from 1 species
GACAGAGGAGCCAAGCGUUGUCCGGAUUGACUGGGCGUAAAGCGCACGCAGGUGGUCGCGCAAGUGCCGUGUGAAAGCCGGCGGCUUAACUGCCGGAGGCCAUGGCAGACUGCGUAACUCGAGUCCGAGAGAGGUCCGUGGAAUUGCCGGUGUAGUGGUGAAAUGCGUAGAGAUCGGCAGGAACACCCAGGGAGAAAUCAGCGGACUGGCUCGGUGCUGACACUGAGGUGCGAAAGCGUGGGGAGCGAACUGG